rnacentral:rRNA from 1 species
ACGCUGGCGGCAGGCCUAACACAUGCAAGUCGAGCGCGAAAGCACUUCGGUGUGAGUAGAGCGGCGGACGGGUGAGUAACGCGUAAGAAUCUACCUAGUAGUGGGGGACAACUCGAGGAAACUCGAGCUAAUACCGCAUACGCCCUACGGGGGAAAGCGGGGGACCUUCGGGCCUCGCGCUAUUAGAUGAGCUUGCGUUGGAUUAGCUUGUUGGUGAGGUAAUGGCUCACCAAGGCUACGAUCCAUAGCUGGUCUGAGAGGAUGAUCAGCCACACCGGGACUGAGACACGGCCCGGACUCCUACGGGAGGCAGCAGUGGGGAAUAUUGCGCAAUGGGCGAAAGCCUGACGCAGCCAUGCCGCGUGUGUGAAGAAGGCCUUAGGGUUGUAAAGCACUUUCAAUUGGGAGGAAAAGUUAACGACUAAUACUCGUUAGCCUUGACGUUACCU